UACGUAGGUGGCAAGCGUUGUCCGGAUUUACUGGGCGUAAAAAGCGCGCAGGCGGUCGUUCAAGUCGCGUGUGAAAGCCCCCGGCUCAACUGGGGAGGGUCACGCGAUACUGAUCGACUCGAAGGCAGGAGAGGGAAGUGGAAUUCCCGGUGUAGUGGUGAAAUGCGUAGAUAUCGGGAGGAACACCAGUGGCGAAGGCGACUUCCUGGCCUGUUCUUGACGCUGAGGCGCGAAAGCUAGGGGAGCAAACGGG
rnacentral:rRNA from 1 species